rnacentral:rRNA from 1 species
UACGGAAGGGGCAAGCGUUGUUCGGAAUCAUUGGGCGUAAAGGGCGCGUAGGCGGUCUUGUAUGUUCGCUGUAAAAGCGCACGGCUCAACUGUGCGAGGUCGGUGGAAACUGCAAGACUUGAGGCUGGGAGAGGCUGGUGGAAUUCCCUGUGUAGCGGUGAAAUGCGUAGAUAUAGGGGAGAACACUUGUGGCGAAGGCGGCCAGCUGGACCAGCCCUGACGCUGAGGCGCGACAGCGUGGGGAGCAAACAGG